rnacentral:misc_RNA from 1 species
GAUGAAGAACGUAGCGAAAUGCGAUACGUAAUGUGAAUUGCAGAAUUCAGUGAAUCAUCGAAUCUUUGAACGCACAUUGCGCCCGCCAGCAUUCUGGCGGGCAUGCCUGUUCGAGCGUCAUUUCAACCCUCGCAGCCCAUCUGGGCAGCGGUGUUGGGGACCGGCACCACCGGCGAAGCCCUUAGGGGCCCAGCCGGCGCCGCCCCCGAAAUACAGUGGCGGUCUCGCUGCAGCCUCCCUUGCGUAGUAGCACACCUCGCACCGGAGCGCAGCGCGGCCACGCCGUAAAACCCCCGACUUUCUGAGUUUGACCUCGAAUCAGGUAGGAAUACCCGCUGAACUUAAGCAUAUCAAUAAGCGGAGGA